GAUGAAUGCUGGCGGCGUGCCUAAUACAUGCAAGUCGAGCGAACGGACGAGAAGCUUGCUUCUCUGAUGUUAGCGGCGGACGGGUGAGUAACACGUGGAUAACCUACCUAUAAGACUGGGAUAACUUCGGGAAACCGGAGCUAAUACCGGAUAAUAUUUUGAACCGCAUGGUUCAAAAGUGAAAGACGGUCUUGCUGUCACUUAUAGAUGGAUCCGCGCUGCAUUAGCUAGUUGGUAAGGUAACGGCUUACCAAGGCAACGAUGCAUAGCCGACCUGAGAGGGUGAUCGGCCACACUUGAACUGAGACACGGUCCAGACUCCUACGGGAGGCAGCAGUAGGGACUCUUCCGCAAUGGGCGAAAGCCUGACGGAGCAACGCCGCGUGAGUGAUGAAGGUCUUCGGAUCGUAAAACUCUGUUAUUAGGGAAGAACAUAUGUGUAAGUAACUGUGCACAUCUUGACGGUACCUAAUCAGAAAGCCACGGCUAACUACGU
rnacentral:rRNA from 1 species